rnacentral:rRNA from 1 species
ACAUGCUUACAACAUAGCUUUAAUGCAUUGGAUCCCAUUAGAACUAUGUAGUUAAGCACGCUCGAGCUAGAGUAGUAUUGGGAUGUGUGACCACUCAAGAAGUCUUAGUAUUUUACAUGCC